UCUUCAAACAGUUAAUCGGUCAGAUGGCAGAGGGAGCCUGGAGAACUGAAGGUUGAAUAGGGCUACGUCAUUCUCAGAUCAUGGUAGACACCUUCUGACACGGACCUCCGCAGCAUCCAGCCCCUUACACCUCAAUGUUUGAUUUGCAUCUUCCUCCAUCCUUUCAUUUCCUCUUGCCUCAGAAGAAUGGUCCCUCCUCCCUUAGGAGGUUCCUUUCACCCUCUCCUAUCUCCCAUCUCUAGGACACACCCCACCAAUCACCACCCUUCCAGAAUCUUUCAUUUUCCCUUCUCUACUGGCUUCUUCCCACAAACCUGCAACUAUGAGGAAGAUAAUGAUUUGGGUACUUAUUAUGCAGCAGGUGCCUAGAGAUUUAUGUGCCCUGACCAAUCCUCACACCAAUCCAACGAAGCAGGUGAUGUCUUCUCCAUUUAGAGAUGAGGAAAUGGGAGACUUCGAGUUGUUCAGUGACAUUCCCAAGCUCACACAGUCCAGGUCCCUCCUUCCACGAGUCGCUAGUCAUCUUAGAGGAUCUGAGGACUCAGCUGAAACUGGCAAUUUCACAGGGAUCUAACCUCAGUUCUUUUUUUCGGGGUGGCCAUGUGCCCAGUUGCAAAUAAUCACCUUCCCAGAUUUCCUAACAGCUGGAGUGACCACGUGACCCAGUUCUGGCCAAUGAAUGUAACUAGAUGUCUCCUGGGUGGGGUCUCCAGGAGAGCUGUUGUUUUCUUGAUCAAAGGGAGCAACUCCCUGGCACUGUCUUUUGCAUUUUUCUCCACUCCCUUCCUCUCCCAUCCCUGCCUGGACGCCAUAUGCAACACUUAGGGGUGGAGCAGCCAUUUUGAAACCACAAGACUGGAUGAAUAGAAACAUAGAAGAAAGCCUGAUCUCCAAUGGCAUCAUGGAACCUCUUCUCUGGUCAUGGACUCCCUACUUCUGAGCUUCUUGUUGUCUGAAAAAAAUAAACCCUACUUGGCUAACUCAGUUAGAGCUAUGGUUUCUGCUGUUGAAACAGGGAGUGACAGUGAGAUGAGACUGGGAAGGAGGGCAGAAGGCUGACCAUCAAGGGCCAUGACUGUUAGGAAGGCUCCAUAGCCGCUAUACAGACUGAAAUGAGUUUCUGC